AUCCAGGGUGAACGUGCUGCAUGUUUCCUGAACCACAUCGGGAUGAGAACAUGCGAUUUU
rnacentral:sRNA from 1 species